rnacentral:lncRNA from 1 species
CUUACGACCUGCGAAUGACCCUGUGUUAUCCAACCACAAGAUGUACAAAAUAUUGUUCCAAGAAAAUUGUAUGCAUCUUACCAGGAUAGUUUUCUCAAAGCAUGCAGUCGGUUCUUGCGGGUAAUCUUCUGAAGAAGUUGAGCGGGACAGAUGGCAGCUUGUGGCGGAACCUCGGGUGUCUUAGCACAUAGAAGCCUGUUAACAGAGCCACGACUUGAAAAGGCGUGACGUACAAAACAAUAGCAACGAUUAAACAGAAAAUGACGAACAGUGCGGUAGCUCUCGGGUCUCUCCAGCUGAGUAACGACUGAAGUCGUUCUCCUUGUGUCGCUAAAUCACCAACCACGGUUUGGAUCCUUCCGGAUAUACUCCGUAAACGAUCGUAUCUCAUUCUGAUGAUGUCUGCAGGGCGAGAAUACCAAACGCCAAUCAAGAAAAGAUAGAGAAAAAUCGUCGGCAAAAUAAGCUCCGGAUACAAAACCAAUAUCAAGAAAAGAAUGUGAAUCAGAACCGUAGUGAUCGGAUUCUUCCAAUUGCAUAUCUGAUCAAACCAUUUUCCAACCGCGAUCAAACCACCGAAAACCCCCAUGAUUCUGAAGAAAUUCGCUUUACUUCUUCUCAUACUCCACAUGUGUGACCCCACAUCGAGCAUAUACUCCACGAUCUCUUUCCGUAAAGGUGGCUCGGCUCGGCUAAGCCGCAUCGACACGAUCUGAGUGGCUUGGUGCCUCAAGCUGUCGAGUUGGCUGACGGUUAACGGAUAAAUGUAGUGCAUUUUCGGCAACAGCGGUUGCGAGUACAUGUGC